UACGUAGGGUGCAAGCGUUGUCCGGAAUUAUUGGGCGUAAAGAGCUCGUAGGCGGCUUGUCGCGUCGACCGUGAAAACUUGGGGCUCAACCCCAAGCCUGCGGUCGAUACGGGCAGGCUCGAGUUCGGUAGGGGAGACUGGAAUUCCUGGUGUAGCGGUGAAAUGCGCAGAUAUCAGGAGGAACACCGAUGGCGAAGGCAGGUCUCUGGGCCGACUACUGACGCUGAGGAAGCGAAAGCGUGGGGAGCGAACAGG
rnacentral:rRNA from 1 species